CUCCCCGCCCCCGCCGCUCUUUCCCGACUCCCCGCCCCGCGCCCAGGUCACUGGCCGCCGCGGUGGGCGGCCCCUGGCGAAUCCACACCCCUGCCCCGCCUUCUCCUCCGUAGGAAACUCCGGGACCCUGCAAGGAAUGACUCACCCGUGAUUCAAUCGCGCCGCCGAGCGCCAAAAUGCCUUUUGGCGGAGGCGGGUCCAGGUGCUGAGAGAACCCGGGCUCCGGGCAUCCCCCGUCUCCCAGUCUUGGGUCCGGGUGGCCCGCACGUCUGUGCGGGGUGGGGAAAGGCGCGUUGGAAAAGAGUUCUUGAGUUAGAGGGAAGGGAUCCUUGCCUUCCAUUUGGCGAUCGUGUCGUCUGUGCUGGUGGGAGCGGAAGCGUUUGCAACAUUUCGUAGAAAGCAAGGGUUCAGGACUCGGCUAGGGUGGAGAGGGCAUUUCCCGCGACCUGGCGCAUGCGGGACUGAGGCUUUGCUCGUGCGGCAAAGUAACUGCGCGGUGGGACUUGUCAUGAGCAAGUCCCAUUCCCAGCGACGAUCUCCUCGUUUUCCUGAGGAGCAAGGACCUCUGGCCUGCCUGCCAAACAGGGCUUUUAGGAUCGCAUUAUAUAAGGGUGAUGAAAAUGCACGUGUUUGCUGUGGACAUAAACGGCCCUCAGCCCACAGGUCCGAAGGCCAGUAGUCCCAGACGCCAUGGAGUCCAACUCGGAUAGUGAAUGAGGACGAGCAGCCUCAAAUCUGGCAGUUUGCCUCUGGGAGAAUUUCAUUGUGACAUCUGCAGUCCUGUGGUUCCAGAAAAGAUGGUUCUCACGUUGAAGAAGAAGACAUCUGUGGGAUUGAGAAAGAAGAGUGAAGUGACUCUAACUCAAAUGUUCUGAUCCCUGGAAAUUUUUUUCUUCAUAAAAAUUGGUGAUCCACAGACACCAAGUUCUAACGAGACAAACUGCAUGAUUUCAAGAGUGUGUUUUUGGAACUACCAGAGGGAUCAGUGUCAUUAGGAAACACAGCUACAAAUGCUGUCAUUUAACCCAACUUGAAUGAACGAAGAUCAUGCUCAAGGGAUAUAAAGAACACAGCCUCAUCUCUUUGGGAUGACUGCACAGGGAAGAUUCUCGCUCCAGAAAAGAGCCCAGGACUAUGAGAAGACACAGCUGUCCAUCCCAGGGCUUUCCCUCCGCUUCCAGCUGACAUGACUUGGAGCCUCUGGUUCUUCGUCUGGGAGUUGGGAGAACCACUCAGCCCUCCCAGCCUACCUGCCUACCAGGUUGCCGCGAGACUCCAGUGAGGGGAAGACAGUGUUGAUGAGUCAGAGGCUCCAUGGUGCCCUGCCUGGCCAUCAGUUGGCCCUGGAGAAGAGACUGUUGUGAUCCCCUGAAAUUCUUAUGAUUCUAUCAGGCAAUGGUUACAGAACUGUUCCCACUCAAGCUCCAGCUGUCCUUAAGCACAGCACUCAAGGGAUUCCCUAGUCAGAGACUAGGUCACCAGCCACAUGCCAGGGUGAGCCGGGGAGAAGAAGCAGAGUGGGUGAUGGGGCAGGCAAGAGGACAGACUUGCCAUGACUUCCUUUUGCCCAGAGCGGCAGACAGCAAGGUCCAGAUCUACUCCAGAGGCACAUUGCCCACAGAGGAGUCAUUUAGGCAACCUCACUGCAGGGGUCCCCCUCAGCUGGUGCUAGAGGCCCAAGGCUCCAGGAUGACAUGGCUUGAUGACAGUCACGAAGCUGUCAUGCCUUGCCUUUCUGGGACUUCACCCUCCAAUCCUGCUCCUUCACAGUGAUGGAGAAUGUGGGUGUUUCCCCUAUUCAGCAGAAAUACAGAGCUCUGUUGGAGGACUGCAUAGUGUUACUUCUAGAAACCGUUUUCACUAAAUUAUAUUUCAUGGGUGUUAGGAUUAUGUUGAAGGUGAGAAUAGAAACUGUUUUCACUUGCACAUCACUGUUCCAGAAAACACGUGUCUCGCUACAGGAACUUCCCCUCAAAACCCUUUGAAUGAACUCAUGACUGUUUAACUUUUCAAUAAUUAACAUCAAACAACUAUUUCCUUUCCAACACUCUUUGACACCUUCCCUAAAAACCCUUGCUUUGCUGAGCAUGGUGGUGCACUCCCAUAAAUAAUCUCAGCGGCUCGGCAGGCAAACACAGGAGGAUUGAGAGUUUAAAGACAGCCUCAGCAAAAGUGAGCAACUCAGUACGACCCUGCCUCUAAAUAAAAAAAACAUACAAAAUAGGGCUGGGGAUGUGGCUCAGUGGUUGAGUGCCCCUAAAGUUCAAUCCCUGGUACAAAACAAAAUAAAACAAAACCCUUGCUUUCCUGUGUCCAUCAACCUUUCAGGGUUAUGCUGUGAUCCUUACCCAAUUCUAAUCAUGCUUCUGUACAGAUAGACCCACUUUUAACUAGACCCCCCAAACUUUAAAGCCUCUUCCCUUUGACAUGUUAACAAGACUUUGCCCAGGCAGUGAUCUUCCUUCUUGGCAUGAGUAAGCAACUUCAUUUUGCACUUUCAAUAAGUGUUUUUGAAUAGAAAACAUUUGAAAAAGGAUAGGCUGAGAAAUGGCAUCUAUUUUCUGGGUCUACUAGGAUAGUCAUCACCUUGCCAGGAAGACUUAUUUUUCUUCUAAUCCUUUGUUUUCUCUUCGCCUUUACCUAAUUCGUGGAAUUUCAUGUGUUCUUGUACACCAUCUUCAACCCCCAGGGAAGGAGGAAGGGUACUGCUGUUACUGCUCUCAGCAUCCCACCCUCAUCCCUGGGCCACAGGUCCCACCUAUUACCAAUUCCUGGACUCCGCACUUGUGCCUGAGGGCUCUCCUGUCUACUCAGUCCUGACUAGGAAAUGCAUAGUCAGUGCCUCAUAAUUAGCACAUCCACAGCUCUGGUGUUCCACCAGGACUCAGGAAAUAGUAUAUAAAUAUCACAGUGCUCUCAUCCCUCUGUGGAACAGCUUUUCAGACCUGUGUUUUCCAUCUUUUGGAGUUUCCUCUCAGGAUUGUUAGUGGCUGACUUCAUAGUCACCACUUCCUGGCUUCUUUUCUUUUCCUGCGUCCCUUCCCUACUUCCCCUACAAGUAUUCCCAAAGUGGUUUACUUGAAUCUCUGUCUCAAGGUCUACUUCUGGAAGAAUCCAAAGUCAAAGGGAUAUAAAUAAGCAGAAAGGCAGGGAAACCAGUCAAAUGUCUUACAUAUUGCAAAUGUUCAAAUGAAUGUUUGUUGCACUGAGGAGAGAAGGAUGCAAAGUGACUUUACAAUGCGCAGUACAGAGCUGAGCACCUAGCAGGUGUCCAAUAAUAAAUGCUUGGGGAGGAGAGGAAAAGCCUAAUGUAGAGCAGGCUGGAUGAUACCCCAGUGGAUCUGAUUCAGAGGGAAGGUGAAGAACCAUUGGCCUUUGGGCAUCCUCCUGGAAUUAGAGUUCUGGGAGUUCACCUGGCUCUCGUGGAGAUGGGGAAACUUCUGGGGGCAAAAGUCUCACUGGGGGUAUCCAAUUAGCCUCUCUCCUUUCCCCAUUGAAUUUUCUUUGAUCACACAAAAUUUAUUUUAAACACCAUGAUGGAGAUAUAAUUUAUGUAUCUGAUUAUUUAUCAUUUUGAAGUGCAAGAAGAGUUGCACAACUAUCAUCACUAAUUCUAGAAUAUCCUCCCCCCCUCCUCCACAAAAACCGGCAUCCAUUUAAUAGCCUCCCCUCAUUCCUGGCUCCCUCAGCUGCUGGCAAACACUAAUGUCAGUGAGCAUCUUUUCAUGUGAUCAUUAAACAUUUUUAUAUCUUCUUUGGAUGAUCUAUUUUCUGUUUCUAUAGGUUUGCCUGUUUUGAGCAUUUCAUCAUUUUAUAAAUGGAGUCCUAAACUCUGUGGUCUUCCUUGACUGGAUUCUAUUAAUUGGCACAUAUUUUCAAGGUUCAUCUAUGCUGUAGCAUGAAUCAGUACUCCAUUUCUUUUUAUUGCCAAAUAACAUCCCAUAUGGAUAUUCCAGAUAUCCGUUAGUCAGUUGGUGGGUGUUUGGGUUCUUUCCCCUUUCCAGCUAUUAUGAAUAUUCAUGUGAGAGUUUUUGGGUGGACCUAUGUCUUCAUUCCUAGUAUAGACCUAGGAGUAGAAUUGCAGGACAUAUUAUAGCUCUAUGUUGACCAUUUUGUGGAACUGCCACUUAGUUUUCCAGAGUAGCCGCACCAUUUCACAUUCCUGCCAAUGAUGUAGGAAAGUUCCAAGUUCUCCACAUCCUAACACUUGCUAUUGUCUUUCUUUCUUUUUUUUUUUUAUUAUAGCCACCCUAUAGUGUGAAGUGGCAUUUUAGUGUUUUUUAAAUUUACAUUUUCCUCGUGACUAAUGACAGUGAGCAUCUUUUCAUGUGAUCAUUAAACAUUUUUAUAUCUUCUUUGGAGAAUUCUCUUUGAAUCCUUUUCUCAUUUUUUAAAAUUGGGUAUUUGCCUUUUUUAUUGUUGAGUUGUAAAUACUCAACAAUAAAAGUUCUGGAUACUGAACCCUUACCAGGUAAUAUGAUCUGCAGAUAUUGUCUGUGCAGUAGAUUUCACUUUCUUCAUAGAGUCCUUUCAAGCACAAAAUUGUUCAAUUUUUGAUGAAGUCCAACUUGGCUAUUUCUUGUCCUUUCCUUGUGCUUUUAGUGUCAUAACUAAGAAACCAUUACCAAACCUAAGGUCAUGAAGGAUAAGAUCUAUGUUUUCUUCUAAGAGUUUUUUAGUGUUAACUCUUUAUGUCCAGAUCUUUGGUCCAUUUCAAGUUAAAUUUUGUAGAUGGUGUAAGGUGGGAUCCAUCUUCAUUCUUCUCACAUGGCUAUCAUCUUUUCCAGCACCAUUUGUUAAAAACAUCAUUCUUCCCUUCACUGGAUUGUUGUGGUGCUUUUGUCAAAAAUCAAUUGACCAUAGAGAUGAAGUUUAUUUCUGUACUCUUAAUUCUAUUCCAUGGAUCUAUGUAUCUUUCCUUAGGACAAUACCACACUGUCUUGAUUACUGUAUUUUUUCAAUAACUUCUUAAAUUUGGAAGCAGUUGUGAGUCCUCUAAACUUGUUCUUUUUCAAGAUGGCUUUAGUAUUAGCUAUUCUGAGUUCUUUGCAUUUCCAUAAGAAUUUAGGUGUCACUUUGUUAAUUUCUGAAAAAAAAGUUCAGAUUUUUAUAAGGAUUAAAAAAAUUUUUUUGUAGUUUUAGGUAGACAGAAUGCCUGUAUUUUAUUUGUUUAUUUUUACAUGGUGCCUCACACAUGCUAGGCAAGCACUCUGCCACUGAGCUACACCCCAAUCCAUUGAUAAGGAUUUUGUUGAAUGUUUAGAUCAAAAUUUAUGGAGUGUGACCAUCCUUCUUAAAAACAUCAUUUUAUUGUUGUUGUUUAUUUCUUAUGUGGUGAUGAGGAUUGAACCCAGGUCCUCAAACAUGAUAGGCAGGUGAUUUAUCACUGAACUACAACCCCAGUCCUAGAAUGUGAUCAUCUUAACAAAUAAAGUUAUUUAGCCUGUAAACAUGAGAUUUUUUUUGCGUGUAUAUAGGUCUUUCAUUUUUCUUCAACAAUAUUUUGUAAUUGGCAAUGUACAAGUCUACACUUCUUUUGUUAAAUUUAUUUCUAAGUAUUUCAUGCUUUUUGAUGCUAUUAUAAAUUGAAUUGUUUCUUACCUUCACUUUUUGAUUGUUCAUUAUCAACUUAUAGAAAUACAAUUGAUUUUUGUAUGAUACCACAAAAUUUUAAAAUCUAUGCAUUUUUCCUUCAAAAUCAAUGAUUAUUUUUAAAGAUAUUUUCUGUAUUUUAAGAUAAGAGAUUAUUUGAGGCCUGCCAUAGAGCACCGAAAUCUUGUUGCUGUCCUUGAGAUUAAACAGAAAAAAAACUUGGGGUAAUGUGAAGUAUGUGGUCCCUUAGUCCUAGGAUGAAGGAUGAAGUAGGAUAGCAGAAAGUCCUGAACUUUCAAACUGCCUCAGAUGUCCUUGAGCACAGAACACAGAUAUGGAAGUAGUCCAAAUUUACAAAAUGAAAGAUUAAUCUCAAAGGCUGGUAUACUACAAUGAUUGCUGGAGAUAUACAUUUGGGAAAAAAAAAACAUAAAAACUCUCCCAGGAAAAAUGGGUGUAUGUGUUUCACUACCAACUUGGGGUGUUGGUUAUGACAUUUUGACUUUGAAUG